UACGUAGGGACCAAGCGUUGUUCGGAUUUACUGGGCGUAAAGGGCGCGUAGGCGGCGUGGUAAGUCAAUUGUGAAAUCUCCGAGCUUAACUCGGAACGGUCAAUUGAUACUGUUGUGCUAGAGUGCAGAAGGGGCAAUCGGAAUUCUUGGUGUAGCGGUGAAAUGCGUAGAUAUCAAGAGGAACACCUGAGGUGAAGACGGGUUGCUGGGCUGACACUGACGCUGAGGCGCGAAAGCUAGGGUAGCAAACGGG
rnacentral:rRNA from 1 species